rnacentral:rRNA from 1 species
AGAGUUUGAUCAUGGCUCAGGACGAACGCUGGCGGCGUGCCUAACACAUGCAAGUCGAACGAAGUAUAUUUUCGGAUAUGCUUAGUGGCGGACGGGUGAGUAACGCGUGAACAAUCUGCCCUGUACACAGGAAUAGCCUCGGGAAACUGGGAUUAAAACCGGAUAACACUUUCUGGCCGCAUGGCCGGGAAGUCAAAUUGAUUUAGAGGUACAGGAUGAGUUCGCGUCUGAUUAGCUAGUUGGUGAGGUAACGGCUCACCAAGGCGACGAUCAGUAGCCGGCCUGAGAGGGUGAACGGCCACACUGGAACUGAGACACGGUCCAGACUCCUACGGGAGGCAGCAGUGGGGAAUAUUGCACAAUGGAGGAAACUCUGAUGCAGCGACGCCGCGUGAGUGAAGAAGGUCUUCGGAUCGUAAAACUCUGUCCUUGGUGACGAAAAAAAUGACGGUAGCCAAGGAGGAAGCCCCGGCUAACUACGUGCCAGCAGCCGCGGUAAUACGUAGGGGGCGAGCGUUGUCCGGAUUUACUGGGCGUAAAGGGUGAGUAGGCGGUAAUAUGUGUCAGAUGUAAAAGGCUAUGGCUUAACCAUAGUUGGCAUUUGAAACUGUAUUACUUGAGUGCAGGAGAGGUAAGUGGAAUUCCUAGUGUAGCGGUGAAAUGCGUAGAUAUUAGGAGGAACACCAGUGGCGAAGGCGACUUACUGGACUGUAACUGACGCUGAGUCACGAAAGCGUGGGUAGCAAACAGGAUUAGAUACCCUGGUAGUCCACGCUGUAAACGAUGAGUGCUAGGUGUUGGGUAGCGAUAUUCAGUGCCGAAGUAAACACAAUAAGCACUCCGCCUGGGGAGUACGGUCGCAAGACUGAACUCAAAGGAAUUGACGG